rnacentral:rRNA from 1 species
AGCAGCCGCGGUAAUUCCAGCUCCAAUAGCGUAUAUUAAAGUUGUUGCAGUUAAAAAGCUCGUAGUUGAAUUUCGGGAUCGUCAGGUUGGUCUUGCCUCUGGUAAGUACUGGUCUCGGUGGUUCCUCCUUCUUGUAGAACCGUAAUGCCAUUAAUUUGGUGUUGCGGGGAAACAGGACUGUUACUUUGAAAAAUUAGAGUGUUUAAAGCAGGCGAUCGCUUGAAUACAUUAGCAUGGAAUAAUGAAAUAGGACGUUCGAUCCUAUUUUGUUGGUUUCUAGGAUUGACGUAAUGAUUAAUAGGGAUAGUUGGGGGCAUUAGUAUUCAAUUGUCAGAGGUGAAAUUCUUGGAUUUAUUGAAGACUAACUACUGCGAAAGCAUUUGCCAAGGAUGUUUUCAUUAAUCAAGAACGAA